UACGGGGGGAGCAAGCGUUGUUCGGAUUUACUGGGCGUAAAGGGCGCGUAGGCGGCCACCGCAAGUCGACUGUGAAAUCUCCGGGCUUAACCCGGAAGGUCAGCCGAUACUGCGGGGCUAGAGUGCAGAAGGGGCAACUGGAAUUCUCGGUGGUAGCGGUGAAAUGCGUAGAUAUUCGCAAGAACACCAGUGGCGAAGGCGGGCUCUGGGCC
rnacentral:rRNA from 1 species